UACGGAGGGUGCAAGCGUUAUCCGGAUUCACUGGGUUUAAAGGGUGCGUAGGUGGGUUGGUAAGUCAGUGGUGAAAUCUCCGUGCUUAACAUGGAAACUGCCAUUGAUACUACUGAUCUUGAAUUUUCUGGAGGUAAGCGGAAUAUGUCAUGUAGCGGUGAAAUGCUUAGAUAUGACAUAGAACACCAAUUGCGAUAGGCAGCUUACUACACGAUCAUUGACGCUGAGGCACGAAAGCGUGGGGAGCAAACAGG
rnacentral:rRNA from 1 species